CGCCAAGAGACUGUCGGGAUAUACUCUUGAACACACCGAGCAGACGACAGAAAUGUUUUCAAAACUUCACUGCUACACGCAUGCGUAAAUUUGGAGCUGAUGGUCAUCGUGUCUAGGAGAAUGUUGGUGCGCGUCUUUUGUGUGCUGAUCUUGUCCAUCUGUAGUGUUCAAAUGUUUGACCAGGAUCUGAACCCUCGGACGCUAGCUGGACUAGAGAAAGAGUGGAGCCGAAGUA
rnacentral:sRNA from 1 species